rnacentral:rRNA from 1 species
ACGGCUCAGUAACACGUGGACAAUCUGACUUAGGGAGGGGGAUAACCUCGGGAAACUGAGGACAAACCUCCAUAGGCGUCAAGUACUGGAAUGUCUGACGCCGAAAUGUGAAGGCCUGUAUUCGGCUCAAUGCCCUAAGAGGAGUCUGCGCCGGAUUAGCCUGACGGUAGGGUAACGGCCUACCGUAGCUACGAUCUGUACCGGCAUUGGGAGAUGGAGCCGGGAGAUGGACACUGAGACAAAGGUCCAGGUUCUACGGAGCGCAGCAGUCGCGAAACCUUCGCAAUGCGCGCAAGCGUGACGAGGGGACCCCAAGUGCGCAUGUACAACAUGCGCUUUUACGAAGUGUAGGUAGCUUCGGGAAUAAGGGCUGGGUAAGACUGGUGCCAGCCUCCGCGGUAACACCAGCAGCUCAAGUGGUGAUCGCGUUUACUGGGUUUAAGGCGUGCGUAGUCGGUUCGGCAAGUCUUCUGUGAAAUCCUGCGGCUUAACCGCAGGGAUUGCAGAAAAUACUACCGGGCUUGAGGCCGGGGUAGGUGUGGGGUAUUCUUGGGGUAGCGGUGAAAUGCUAUAAUCCCUGGAGGACCACCCGUAGCGAAGGCGCCACACUGGAACGGGCCUGACGAUGAGGUACGAGAGCUAGGGGAGCAAACAGGAUUAGAUACCCUGGCAGUCCUAGCCGUAAACGAUGUGGGUUUAGUGUCCCCUAAACCUCGUGUUUGGGGGGUGCUGAAGGGAAACCGUUAAACCCACCACCUGGGGAGUACGGUCGCAAGGCUGAAACUUAAAGGAAUUGGCGGGGGAGCAC